rnacentral:rRNA from 1 species
GACGAACGCUGGCGGCGUGCUUAACACAUGCAAGUCGAACGCUGAAGCUUGGUGCUUGCACGGGGUGACUGGGUGGCGACCGGGUGAGUAAUACGAGAGUAACCGGCGCUGGAGUCUGCGAUAAGCCUGCGAACCCGGGUCUAAUACUGGACACGACGUGUCCCCGCAUGGAGGUGUGUGGAAAGGGCUUUGCUAGUAUUGGAUGGCCUCAUGGCCAAUCAGCUUGUUGGUGGGGUACUGGCUCACCAAGGCGACGACGGGUAGCCGGCCUGAGAGGGUGACCGGCCACACUGGGACUGAGACACGGCCCAGACUCCUACGGGAGGCAGCAGUGGGGAAUAUUGCACAACGGGCGGAAGCCUGAUGCAACGACGCCGCGUGAGGGAUGACUGCCUUGGUGUUGUAAACCUCUUUCAGCACGGAACAUGCGAAAUUGACGGUACCUGCAGAAGAAGCGCCGGCUAACUACGUG